rnacentral:sRNA from 1 species
AAUGGCCUCCCACCACAUGGAUGCCACUUAAGUCACUCCUCUUCUACACAGUGACCUAGAACCAUAGACCCAUCCUUGUAUAUCCUUUGGCUGGCAGUUUGGUCCCUAGGAGCUGGGGGAUUGGUGACAGAAGGUCUGUUUAGAUAUUAAAGACCAAUGAUUGCUGCUUUCUCUUCUUUUUCUAGUUAUUGGUGAAAUUAUGUUUGUGUGCUUCUCUUUUUUGAAAUUAUUGAGAGAUGAUUAGUUUCUUGGUUUUUCUUGGGUACAGUUUAGCUCACUGUCUUGAAGUUUUCCUCCUAUUAUCCUCUGUUGUGCUCUCUUAAAGAAAAAUAUUGUUUAAAUUUGGUUUUGUUGUGAAAUAUCUUGGUUUCUCCAUUUAUGGUGAUUGCGAAUUAUGCUGGUUAUAGUAGCCUUGGUCUGCAUUACAUCGGCCCAAUUUUUUCUGGCUUUUGGAGUCUCUGUCGAGAAGUCUUGUGUAAUUCAGAUAGGUCUGAAUUCAUUUGUUGCUGGAUAUUUAUACUUUACCCAUUUAAUAUUCUUUCUUUUAUCUGUGCAUUUAGUGUUUUAAUUAUUAUGUGAAUGGAGGAAAUUUUUCUGGUUAAAUUAAUUUUGCAUUCUCUAGGCUUGUUGUACCCUUAUGGCCUUUUAUUUCUUUACCUUAUGGAAGUUUUCUGCUAUGAUUUGUUGAAGAUGUUUACUGGACCUAUGAACUGGAAAUGUCAAUUCUCUUCUAUAUCUCUUAUCCUUAGGUUAGGACUUUUAAUUGUGUCCUGAAAUUCAUGUAUGUUUGGAUUCAAUAAACCAUACAUGUUUAUCUGAGAUGGGUGUUUUGUCUUUUGUGGGGUGACCUCCUUUACCCCAACUCUUCCAUUUAGAAGCACGUUCGAUAAUGAGACAUGGUCAGCAGUGGUGACCUCUUGCCAUAAACUAUAUGAAAAUAGGGAGGUGACUUUAUGUGUGUCAAGUAUCAGUAGUCUCCUGGGUGGUUUUGGUCCCCGGUUGGCCCUAUACAACAGUUUCAAAAGCCCAGGAUUGAUGUUCCUUGGGAUUCCCAUGGUGAUGCACACAGACAUGACAGAAAAAGGCCAGAAUACACAGGAUAGUACUUGACUUAUGUAAUAGAGAGAACAUUAUUAAGUUAUGUUACAAAAUAUUCGAUCACACUGUGAUCUCCCUGAAUGUAUUAUUUAAUGAAAAACUAUUGUGUGGUAUAGCAUCGCCAGGGCACAGACAUUUAAUGCAAGAGCUCUUUGUUUACUGUGAACAUGGACUUUAUUACUGUUCAGCUCACCUACCUCACACCUUUACUGCAAAGCUAAAGGGCACUUAGGUCUAGAGCAGAUCAAGGCACAACUUGAUAGGAAAUGAAGAUAAGUAGGGCAAUGGAAAGUCUUUCAGUUGUAGGAUUUUUAAGAAAGUGUGCAGAGAGAGCUACAGUGCUCUUCUUCUGGGGGAACAGUGAAUUAGGAAGGACAGUUGGGAGCUUCACUUAAAUACAGCAUCUGACUCCUGAGACCUUAUUGGUAAAUUAAUGUCUGGAAUUUUGUGUCGUAAAACAAUGCAUUGCCUUUGCAGCUUUUGGCAAGGGCCAUCGACAGAGAGAUCACACCAGCUGGGGACAAUCUGAAAAGAAAUCAGGUUUUCUUAAGUCACCUGAGAAGUCCUCAAGGAGACAGGAAUGAAUGGGUAGCACCAUAAUAGAAGGCCUUAGGAUCUCAGAUAGUUCUACUCUAGAUGCCUUGAAAAUAGAAGCAGAAAAUGAAAAACUAAAUGACUUCACAGGAAUUAGCUCAAUUCUCACUAUGAUUAUUUCAUGUUGGUAUUUUAUACUUGAUUCAUUUUUUAAAAGUUUUAAAAUAAGAGUCUUCGGUUUUAAUUUGAGGCUGUCUUAGAAUCAUGAAAUGCUUACACUCUGGGCAACUAAACUCCAGGAAAUCUUCUCCAGUCAUACAGCUGGGUCAUAUGUGAGGCAACAACUGUUUAAAAGGGAGAGCUGGUUGCUUUCUCCUGGAAGAAGCACUUGGGGGUUGACUGUCACUUCUGAGCCUUCUGUUCUGAGUCACUUCGCAGAAGGGGCACUUUGCUCUAACUCCUCCAUGGGACCCAUCCAGCACUGGGGCUGGAGGAUCCUAUGGUGUUGCAGCUCUGAGCUGGGAGGAGGAGCUAGCACACUGACAUGGAGAAGCCUGUUUUCACAGCUGAUCUAGAUCUGAGAAACAGGUGAUUUUAAAGAAGCAUGUGAAAGUAUCUCCUGCAGGAGAGCUCACUAUGCAGGGAAAGUCACACAGGACAGGGAAAAGUGGCUUCCCAACUUCCAUGGGGCGAGCGAACUAGGGAGGGCACAGGAUGGUUGAGGAGUUUAUGAAAGGCCUGCAUCUCCCUGAAAGUCUUCCAGCAACCCUACAUCCCACCACUAUCCCAGGCUCACAGAGAUCAGCUCCUCGCCAUUCUGACAAGCAAACAAAAGGGAAGGCAAAGGACCUGAAGAAGAUGGAGGAGAAUAAUGAAAGCCUCCUUUAAAAGACAGAAUCUCAAACUGUAGCUGAGAUUGGCUUGGCUUGGAACAUGUGUGUAGUUCAUGCUGGCAUCAGACUUAUGGCAAUUCUCCUGCUUCAGCCUCCUACUGAGGAGCCUACCAGGGUGAGAUCACAACCACGGGUAAUGGGAUUGCUGUUCUUGGUUGUCAACUUGAGUGUACCUGGAAUUAACUAAUGCCAAAUGGCUUGACGCCCUGUGAGGGGGAUCUCUCUCUCUCUCUCUCUCUCUCU